rnacentral:piRNA from 1 species
CAGGUAUGCCAGAAACCAACCCAGCAACCUG